AGUCACAAAUUCGAGGCCAAAGCAAAAGUGCUCACAGUGCAGCCUGUCAGAUUCCAGUGAAUCUGUGAAUUCUGCU
rnacentral:ribozyme from 1 species